GCGACACCAAGCGACGCGACGAAGACGACGACGCCACUGGCCCCGCCAUCCGAGUCCUGCAUCCGCUGCUGGCCAACGGAAGCCCACCCGGUGGGUGCCCGCCGCCCGCUCCCCCUCGACAAAUCCAAUAUAUGUCCAAGUAGCCACAUCAUAUGGCGACCUCUACCACCACUUGCUCUGUAUCUAUCGAUUUAUAAAUAUGGAGGUACAUCCCACAAUUGAUAUUGAAGUUCACAUUGCUGAAUAAGUCCUAAUGCCCGUGCUAAAUAACCAAGCUCCUGGAUAGUGCAAAUUUUCUUUGCCAGCAACUGCAAAUAAGUGGUGUCUAGCUGGGACUUGUGCAGUGAAUUCAGGUUUCAGGUGCCCACAGGUCCUGUACGAAUAGGGCUCAUCAGAAUCAUCACCCACCUACUUUGUAACACACUGCAUCACAUCUUACCUGGAGAAAGCUUCCAUCGACCUUUGCGGGACCGCAGCAAAUGUUUGUAUCCCGGGACAGAGAGAAUCUUCCUUUUGCUUAUCUCAAGCAGCCAGCGAUGUGAAUUUUCUUUGGGACCUCCAAGUUCCAAUCAGAAACCUCAUUGCUCCAGUCCCAAGAGAAAGCAUGUUGGAACCUCCUGGAGAUGUUAGCAUCAGCUGGGAGAAUCAGACUUCAUGUACAGAUGAUUGCUUCUCAUUAAGUGCAAAUAAUAUGAAAAUUCGAUUUCUUCACUGGCCGUGUUCUCGAGCUAAGCCAAACUCAACUGCACCAGGCACAUGUUCAGUAAUCUUGGUCUGGAACGUUGUUGGUUGUUAAUUUGUUUAUGGUUCCAAUGCGAAAAACUCCAGAUGAUGGCCUGUUUGGAGACAAAACUUUUGAGGUACAAUAAUAGCAAUUAGUUGUCUAACCCAAGCAUUUUUAUUCGUUAUCCUUGAUUGUCUGCUAGAACUAAAGGCUUGUUCCUUAACUUGAUUGGAUGAUAGAAAGGCAUCCUCUUAGUGCCCAUGUGCCUAUGGGUACUGUCCUGAUUAAAUAAGCAUGGAUGCUAUUAUUAUUGAUUGAACAUUUUAUAUCUUUUUGAUCUGUACAACUCAAUUUUUUCCUGAUACUUAGAAGCUUCCUUUGUUCCUUGUGAAGAUUUUCUGGGGUUUUAGAGGGAGGAAAAGGGGAAAAGGUAUUUUACUCCUUAUAUGAAUGUUUCCAGAAGAUUGCUUGCUUUCCUGACAAUGUAUCACCCUUAAUUGGAGGUUUUUAUUCAUUUGAAAACUUGGUCAUCACUCAUGAUGAGAAUUUGAUUAGCAACUUCUCUUGCUCCACAUGCAUGUGAACAGUUGAAUCACAAGAAUAUCUCCAUGGAGAGGAUCUUUCAUUUAUUUAUUUUUGAUUGUUGAAUCAUUCGGAACAACUUUUUGUUCGAUUCUUUGGUCCCAUUUAUAAGAGGAUGCCAAUAAUUAAAGGCAUUGUUGGACAAAAUUAAUAGGCAAAAGAUGAAAAGCAAGGACAUUUGCAACCCUCCCAUUGGCAGGAGUGUCACGGGCAAAAAAGCAGGUUUGACAAACAUGGCAUCUUGUGUGGGCUCGCUCGCGUGGGCCCAUCGCUCCUUAUUGCAACCUGUCAAUG